UCAAGUAAUUAAGUGCAUGUGGUGGAUGCCUUGGCAGUCAGAGGCGAUGAAAGACGUAAUAGCCUGCGAAAAGCUCCGGGGAGGCGGCAAAUAUCCUGUGAUCCGGAGAUUUCUGAAUGGGGAAACCCACCUGUCAUAAGGCAGGUAUCGUAUGAUGAAUACAUAGUCAUACGAGGCGAACGAGGGGAAGUGAAACAUCUCAGUACCCUUAGGAAAAGAAAUCAAUUGAGAUUCCCUCAGUAGCGGCGAGCGAACGGGGAAAAGCCCAUUAAGUCAUAUAAGUUCUAGUGGAAUGCUCUGGGAAGUGCAACCAUAGUGGGUGAUAGUCCUGUACACGAAAGGGCUUAUAUGAUGAUGUCGAGUAGGGCGGGGCACGUGAAACCUUGUCUGAAUAUGGGGGGACCAUCCUCCAAGGCUAAAUACUCCUGACUGACCGAUAGUGAACCAGUACCGUGAGGGAAAGGCGAAAAGAACCCCUGUGAGGGGAGUGAAAUAGAUCCUGAAACCGCAUGCAUACAAGCAGUGGGAGCCGACUUGUUCGGUGACUGCGUACCUUUUGUAUAAUGGGUCAGCGACUUACAUUCAGUAGCAAGGUUAACCGCAUAGGGGAGCCGUAGAGAAACCGAGUCUUAAUAGGGCGUUUAGUUGCUGGGUGUAGACCCGAAACCAGGUGAUCUAUCCAUGAGCAGGUUGAAGGUUGGGUAACACUAACUGGAGGACCGAACCCACUGUCGUUGAAAAGCCAGGGGAUGACUUGUGGAUAGGGGUGAAAGGCUAAUCAAACUCGGUGAUAGCUGGUUCUCCCCGAAAGCUAUUUAGGUAGCGCCUCGGACGAAUACCAUUGGGGGUAGAGCACUGUUUCGGCUAGGGGGUCAUCCCGACUUACCAAACCGAUGCAAACUCCGAAUACCAAUGAGUACUAUCCGGGAGACAGACUGCGGGUGCUAACGUCCGUAGUCAAGAGGAAAACAAUCCAGACCGCCAGCUAAGGCCCCAAAAUUAUAGUUAAGUGGGAAACGAUGUGGGAAGGCAUAGACAGCUAGGAGGUUGGCUUAGAAGCAGCCACCCUUUAAAGAAAGCGUAAUAGCUCACUAGUCGAGUCGGCCUGCGCGGAAGAUGUAACGGGGCUAAAACUAUAUGCCGAAGCUGCGGAUUUGCAAUUUAUUGCAAGUGGUAGGGGAGCGUUCUGUAAGCCGAUGAAGGUGUAUUGAGAAGUAUGCUGGAGGUAUCAGAAGUGCGAAUGCUGACGUGAGUAACGACAAUGCGAGUGAAAAACUCGCACGCUGAAAGACCAAGGGUUCCAGUCCAACGUUAAUCGGGGCUGGGUGAGUCGACCCCUAAGGCGAGGCCGAGAGGCGUAGUCGAUGGGAAAUUGGUUAAUAUUCCAAUACUUCUGUGUAAUGCGAUGAGAGGACGGAGAAGGUUAAGUCAGCCUGGCGUUGGUUGUCCAGGUGGAAGGUUGUAGGCAUGUAUCUUAGGCAAAUCCGGGGUACUCUAUGCUGAGAACUGAUAGCAAGCUGUACUUGUACAGUGAAGUGGCUGAUACCAUGCUUCCAGGAAAAGUCUCUAAGCUUCAGUUACACAGGAAUCGUACCCGAAACCGACACAGGUGGUCAGGUCGAGUAGACCAAAGCGCUUGAGAGAACUCUGCUGAAGGAACUAGGCAAAAUGGUACCGUAACUUCGGGAGAAGGUACGCUGCCGACGGUGAUAGGAUUUACUCCUUGAGCUAUUGGCAGCCACAGAAACCAGGCCCCUGCAACUGUUUAUUAAAAACAUAGCACUCUGCAAACACGAAAGUGGACGUAUAGGGUGUGAUGCCUGCCCGGUGCUGGAAGGUUAAUUGAUGGGGUUAGCGUAAGCGAAGCUCUUGAUCGAAGCCCCAGUAAACGGCGGCCGUAACUAUAACGGUCCUAAGGUAGCGAAAUUCCUUGUCGGGUAAGUUCCGACCUGCACGAAUGGCAUAAUGAUGGGGGCGCUGUCUCCAGCAGAGACUCAGUGAAAUCGAAUUCGCCGUGAAGAUGCGGUGUACCCGCGGCUAGACGGAAAGACCCCGUGAACCUUUACUGCAGCUUGACAUUGAACUUUGAUCUUACUUGUGUAGGAUAGGUGGGAGGCUUUGAAACCGAGACGCUAGUUUCGGUGGAGCCAAUCUUGAAAUACCACCCUGGUAAUAUUGAGGUUCUAACUCUGUCCCGUUAUCCGGGACGAGGACCAUGUCUGGUGGGUAGUUUGACUGGGGCGGUCUCCUCCUAAAGAGUAACGGAGGAGUACGA
rnacentral:rRNA from 1 species